rnacentral:rRNA from 1 species
UGGGGAAUUUUGGACAAUGGGGGAAACCCUGAUCCAGCCAUCCCGCGUGUGCGAUGAAGGCCUUCGGGUUGUAAAGCACUUUUGGCAGGAAAGAAACGUCAUGGGUUAAUACCCCGUGAAACUGACGGUACCUGCAGAAUAAGCACCGGCUAACUACGUGCCAGCAGCCGCGGUAAUACGUAGGGUGCAAGCGUUAAUCGGAAUUACUGGGCGUAAAGCGUGCGCAGGCGGUUCGGAAAGAAAGAUGUGAAAUCCCAGAGCUCAACUUUGGAACUGCAUUUUUAACUACCGGGCUAGAGUGUGUCAGAGGGAGGUGGAAUUCCGCGUGUAGCAGUGAAAUGCGUAGAUAUGCGGAGGAACACCGAUGGAGGAGGCAGCCUCCUGGGAUAACACUGACGCUCAUGCACGAAAGCGUGGGGAGCAAACAGG